CGGAGGUUAGAGAUGGACUACUGUGUGUUCCAAUUUAAAAAUCUGGGUUGCCACUGUAGUAAUGUCAUUCUGUCGUAAACCAAGGACCCCAAGUAUUGCUGAUUUUCAGUCGGUAUGCGUCUGACUUGUUCCCACUCAGCUCUAUAUCCAGAGGCACGUAGUCAAACACUAAUUUGUCAUUCAAGCAGCCAGUCGUCGUGGCAGGUUUAUGCCAAUUUAUCCAAAUUGGCCUUUGGGGGACAAAUAAUCCUGCUCUGCAAAUUUGCUUGGUCAUUAGUAGCCGGGAAAACAUGCCAUGACCAGAAAGACAAAAAUAUCAACAACAACAACAAAAAAACUGUUUUUCGACAUUAUUUAUGAGUUGAUGUGUGUAGAAUUUGAGAGGAAACAAUGACUUUAUUCCAUUACUUUCCCAUUCAUUUACUAUUUUGGAAUGACUAAAAGCAAAAUGUGGAAAAAGUGAAGUGCCGUGGAUACGUUCCAGUCGCAUUGCAGGUCUGAAUUCCUGCAGUGCACCUCGCCUGACUCAAAUGCAAUCACCGAUUUGCCUUUUGAGCUUAAUUAUGCUGCAGAACAGUACAUUUCCCUCUAAUUUUCUAUACUUCUGAACGGACCAACAACAUCAAACAUGCACAAACCAGUAUCACACCUGAGAUCAUUACAAGUGACAUGAUGCUGGAAUGUU